rnacentral:rRNA from 1 species
UCGGGAAUUUUGGGCAAUGGGCGAAAGCCUGACCCAGCAACGCCGCGUGAAGGAUGAAGUAUUUCGGUAUGUAAACUUCGUAAGAAUAGGAAGAAUAAAUGACGGUACUAUUUGUAAGGUCCGGCUAACUACGUGCCAGCAGCCGCGGUAAUACGUAGGGACCAAGCGUUGUUCGGAUUUACUGGGCGUAAAGGGCGCGUAGGCGGUUUGUCAAGUCAGUUGUGAAAUCUCUGGGCUUAACCCAGAACGGCCAAGUGAUACUGUCGCGCUAGAGUGCAGAAGGGGCAAUCGGAAUUCUUGGUGUAGCGGUGAAAUGCGUAGAUAUCAAGAGGAACACCUGAGGUGAAGACGGGUUGCUGGGCUGACACUGACGCUGAGGCGCGAAAGCCAGGGGAGCAAACGGGAUUAGAUACCCCCGUAGUCCCUGAGCGGGCUGGCAAGGCGCAU